CGAUAAAAAUUCUUUUUUUCCUCUCUUUUCUUUUUUUGCUUGUUUAUAUAAACAUCUCACUGCUAGGCAUGAUCUAUAGAACCACAGUAUGUGAGCAUCACUCUGAG
ensembl:lncRNA